UCGAACGGCACCCCUCUCCGGAGGGAAGCGAGUGGCGAACGGCUGAGUAACACGUGGAGAACCUGCCCCCUCCCCCCGGGAUAGCCGCCCGAAAGGACGGGUAAUACCGGAUACCCCCGGGCGCCGCAUGGCGCCCGGGCUAAAGCCCCGACGGGAGGGGAUGGCUCCGCGGCCCAUCAGGUAGACGGCGGGGUGACGGCCCACCGUGCCGACAACGGGUAGCCGGGUUGAGAGACCGACCGGCCAGAUUGGGACUGAGACACGGCCCAGACUCCUACGGGAGGCAGCAUG
rnacentral:rRNA from 1 species